rnacentral:lncRNA from 1 species
CCCAAUCCCUGGACACAUCUUUGGAGCCUGGCUGCUGUUGACGCUACUCCCAGCUGCUUUGGGUUCGGGUUUGACCUGGCCACAGUGAUUGGGUCCAGAACUAUUGAGAGCAAAUGAGACUGCUGCUGGGCUACAAAGAAGGAAGCCGGUAUUUUUUCCUGAUCCCGAACAUUACAGGAUAUAAGAUAGAACUGCUUCAGCCAUCUUGCCAUCAGAGAGGAAGGGCAGAUCCGAGAAUCCAGCCAAGACAGAGAAAGGGGAUUCCAAGAAUCUCACAAGAACUUGCAGAGUCUUGGGGAGCUAUGACCAGAUAUGCUAUGAAACAAAAUUCAAGGAUGACUCAAAUCCUCAAGCCUGGUAAAAAGAAAGAAGAGAUGCAAACUUAAUGGAGAAUUAUACAGGCUUCAUCACAAGACUCUGGGACAUCUUUAUCGCCAAAAAGACAAAGGAAACUGAAUGAAUGGUCCUUACACACCUGGAUGCCACUCAGGUUGGGAUUAUUAAGUGAGGGCACUGAGUGCUCCUGGCCGAGAGCCGUGCUCCUCCUGGAGAGACAGGAUGGAUGACUACAUUCAGGAAAGGGAACCGGCAAGGAAUAGACAGGAGGCAUAAGGCCCUUCAUCUUGUUCGAUCUGGAGUCUUUUCUUACGUAAAAUUCAAGCUUUUGAAAGCAAUUCCCCACCUUAAAUCACAGAG